rnacentral:lncRNA from 1 species
UCCACUAGAAUUGCUUCCUAUUCAUUUAUUUCACACACUCAAACAUAGAGAUUAGAGGUAAAAACAAACAUAUACUAAAUAAAACACAAAAAAACUAGAAAACACACUAAACGUGAGGAUAAAACAAGGUAAAAGCUAUGAAGGAGUUGAUUUGUUCACAAAAUAUACACACACAAAAACGUUAAAUCAACCGUUAUCAGCAUGCAAGUACUCUUUUGUUAACCCAUCGAAAAUAAUUUCUACUGGUAUUUAGUGAACCAUCCAAACUUGAUGUUUAUGAAAUGGAAGAAUGAUGAUUGCAGCUUCCUUC